GGUUAAGCGAAUAAGCGUACACGGUGGAUGCCUAGGCAAUCAGAGGCGAUGAAGGACGUGCUAAUCUGCGAAAAGCGUCGGUAAGGUGAUAUGAACCGUUAUACCCGACGAUAUCCGAAUGGGGAAACCCAGUAUCCAAUGGAUACUAUCAUUAACUGAAUCCAUAGGUUAAUGAGGCGAACCGGGAGAACUGAAACAUCUCAGUACCCCGAGGAAAAGAAAUCAACCGAGAUUCCCCUAGUAGCGGCGAGCGAACGGGGAGCAGCCCAGAGUCUUAAUCAAUAACAGUGUCAGGAGAACGGUCUGGAAAGUCCGGCAGUAAAGGGUGAUAGCCCCGUAUCUGAAGAUGCUGUUAUUGUGAACUCGACGAGUAGGGCGGGACACGUGUUAUCCUGUCUGAAUAUGGGGGGACCAUCCUCCAAGGCUAAAUACUCCUGAUUGACCGAUAGUGAACCAGUACCGUGAGGGAAAGGCGAAAAGAACCCCGGCGAGGGGAGUGAAAAAGAACCUGAAACCGUGUACGUACAAGCAGUAGGAGCCUCUUUAUGGGGUGACUGCGUACCUUUUGUAUAAUGGGUCAGCGACUUAUAUUCUGUAGCAAGGUUAACCGUAUAGGGGAGCCGUAGGGAAACCGAGUCUUAACUGGGCGAAUGAGUUGCAGGGUAUAGACCCGAAACCCGGUGAUCUAUCCAUGGGCAGGUUGAAGGUUGGGUAACACUAACUGGAGGACCGAACCGACUAAUGUUGAAAAAUUAGCGGAUGACUUGUGGAUGGGGGUGAAAGGCCAAUCAAACCGGGAGAUAGCUGGUUCUCCCCGAAAGCUAUUUAGGUAGCGCCUCGUGAAUUCAUCUUCGGGGGUAGAGCACUGUUUCGACUAGGGGGUCAUCCCGACUUACCAACUCGAUGCAAACUGCGAAUACCGAAGAAUGUUAUCACGGGAGACACACGGCGGGUGCUAACGUCCGUCGUGAAGAGGGAAACAACCCAGACCGCCAGCUAAGGUCCCAAAGUCAUGGUUAAGUGGGAAACGAAGUGGGAAGGCUCAGACAGCCAGGAUGUUGGCUUAGAAGCAGCCAUCAUUUAAAGAAAGCGUAAUAGCUCACUGGUCGAGUCGGCCCGCGCGGAAGAUGUAACGGGGCUAAACCAUGCACCGAAGCUGCGGCAGCGACACAAAGUGUUGUUGGGUAGGGGAGCGUUCUGUAAGCCUGCGAAGGUGUACUGUGAGGUAUGCUGGAGGUAUCAGAAGUGCGAAUGCUGACAUAAGUAACGAUAAUGCGGGUGAAAAACCCGCACGCCGGAAGACCAAGGGUUCCUGUCCAACGUUAAUCGGGGCAGGGUGAGUCGACCCCUAAGGCGAGGCUGAAAAGCGUAGUCGAUGGGAAACGGGUUAAUAUUCCCGUACUGGUGGUAACUGCGAUGGGGGAACGGAGAAGGCUAGGUUGUCCGGGCGACGGUCGUCCCGGUUCAAGCAGGUAGGCAGAGUGAUUAGGCAAAUCCGGUCACUUAAUGCUGAGAUGUGAUGACGAACCACCAAGGUGGUGAAGCAAUUGAUGCCCCGCUUCCAGGAAAAGCCUCUAAGCUUCAGGUUACCAACAAUCGUACCCCAAACCGACACAGGUGGUCAGGUAGAGAAUACUCAGGCGCUUGAGAGAACUCGGGUGAAGGAACUAGGCAAAAUGGUGCCGUAACUUCGGGAGAAGGCACGCUGGCGGUAGGUAAAGUCCCUCGCGGACAGAGCUGAAGCCAGUCGAAGAUACCAGCUGGCUGCAACUGUUUAUUAAAAACACAGCACUGUGCAAACACGAAAGUGGACGUAUACGGUGUGACGCCUGCCCGGUGCUGGAAGGUUAAUUGAUGGGGUCAGCCGCAAGGCGAAGCUCCUGAUCGAAGCCCCAGUAAACGGCGGCCGUAACUAUAACGGUCCUAAGGUAGCGAAAUUCCUUGUCGGGUAAGUUCCGACCUGCACGAAUGGCGUAAUGAUGGCCAGGCUGUCUCCACCCGAGACUCAGUGAAAUUGAACUCGCUGUGAAGAUGCAGUGUACCCGCGGCAAGACGGAAAGACCCCGUGAACCUUUACUAUAGCUUGACACUGAACAUUGAGCCUUGAUGUGUAGGAUAGGUGGGAGGCUUUGAAGUGUGGACGCCAGUCUGCAUGGAGCCAACCUUGAAAUACCACCCUUUAACGUUUGAUGUUCUAACCUAGGCCCAUAAACUGGGUCGGGGACCGUGUCUGGUGGGUAGUUUGACUGGGGCGGUCUCCUCCUAAAGAGUAACGGAGGAGCACGAAGGUUGGCUAAGCAUGGUCGGACAUCAUGCGGUUAGUGCAAAGGCAUAAGCCAGCUUGACUGCGAGAGUGACGGCUCGAGCAGGUACGAAAGUAGGUCUUAGUGAUCCGGUGGUUCUGAAUGGAAGGGCCAUCGCUCAACGGAUAAAAGGUACUCCGGGGAUAACAGGCUGAUACCGCCCAAGAGUUCAUAUCGACGGCGGUGUUUGGCACCUCGAUGUCGGCUCAUCACAUCCUGGGGCUGAAGUAGGUCCCAAGGGUAUGGCUGUUCGCCAUUUAAAGUGGUACGCGAGCUGGGUUUAGAACGUCGUGAGACAGUUCGGUCCCUAUCUGCCGUGGGCGUUGGAAGAUUGAGAGGGGUUGCUCCUAGUACGAGAGGACCGGAGUGAACGCACCACUGGUGUUCGGGUUGUCAUGCCAAUGGCAUUGCCCGGUAGCUAAGUGCGGAAGAGAUAACCGCUGAAAGCAUCUAAGCGGGAAACUUGCCUCGAGAUGAGUCUUCCCUGUCGCUUUAAGCGACCUAAAGGAACGUUUAAGACUAAGACGUUGAUAGGCUGGGUGUGUAAGCGUAGCGAUACGUUGAGCUAACCAGUACUAAUGAACCGUGAGGCUUAACCUG
rnacentral:rRNA from 1 species